AGAGCUAUAGGUUAAACUAAGUAAACCAUUGGCCUUCAAAGCCAAAAAUGAGGAGAAUCUAGCUUUG
rnacentral:tRNA from 1 species